AUGGACGCCGUGCCCUUCUUCCUGCGCGCCCCUCAGGCCGAGGUGCUGGAGGACGUGCUGCGGGAGCAGUUCGGGCCGCUACCCCAGCUGGCCGCCAUCUGCCGGCUGCGGCGCCUGUCCUCGGGCGGCUACUCGUCCACCCAGGACCUGCAGCUGGUGCUGGAGCGCCGGCGCGUCGCCAACGCCAAGGAGCGCGAGCGGAUAAAAAAUCUCAACCGUGGUUUUGCCAAACUGAAGGCACUUGUACCAUUUCUUCCCCAAAGUAGGAAGCCUAGCAAAGUUGAUAUACUAAAAGGUGCAACUGAGUACAUACAAAUUCUCAGUGAUGUUUUGGGAGGAACCAAUGAUUCUGAGAAACAAGAUCCAGAUCACCAGAGCUAUAGCAGCAACACUUCUGAACCACAUAUAUCCCUGGCUAGAGAGCUACUGAGAAACAUCAGCCAACAUGCCCCCUGCGCUGUGGGCUUGAAGAAUGAGGAGGAAGGGCCCUGGACAGCAGGUGGCAGUGCAUAAUCCUCUCCAGUUCCAUCCAUGUUGCCACAGAUGGAUAGAUUUCCAGAAGUAGAAUUGCUGAAUCAUAGGUAGUCUCAGCCUCCCCAAGUAUGAAAAGUGAGAAGGCCAGCCCAGGGAUACUUUCUAGAGACAAAUAAAUGCAGUCUUAAAAAUUUUGA